rnacentral:rRNA from 1 species
CAUGGACGAAAGUCUGACGGAGCAACGCCGCGUGAGUGAUGAAGGUUUUCGGAUCGUAAAGCUCUGUUGUUAGGGAAGAACAAGUGCGAGAGUAACUGCUCGCACCUUGACGGUACCUAACCAGAAAGCCACGGCUAACUACGUGCCAGCAGCCGCGGUAAUACGUAGGUGGCAAGCGUUGUCCGGAAUUAUUGGGCGUAAAGGGCUCGCAGGCGGUUUCUUAAGUCUGAUGUGAAAGCCCCCGGCUCAACCGGGGAGGGUCAUUGGAAACUGGGAAACUUGAGUGCAGAAGAGGAGAGUGGAAUUCCACGUGUAGCGGUGAAAUGCGUAGAGAUGUGGAGGAACACCAGUGGCGAAGGCGACUCUCUGGUCUGUAACUGACGCUGAGGAGCGAAAGCGUGGGGAGCGAACAGGAUUAGAUACCCUGGUAGUCCACGCCGUAAACGAUGAGUGCUAAGUGUUAGGGGGUUUCCGCCCCUUAGUGCUGCAGCUAACGCAUUAAGCACUCCGCCUGGGGAGUACGGUCGCAAGACUGAAACUCAAAGGAAUUGACGGGGGCCCGCACAAGCGGUGGAGCAUGUGGUUUAAUUCGAAGCAACGCGAAGAACCUUACCAGGUCUUGACAUCCUCUGACAACCCUAGAGAUAGGGCUUUCCCUUCGGGGACAGAGUGACAGGUGGUGCAUGGUUGUCGUCAGCUCGUGUCGUGAGAUGUUGGGUUAAGUCCCGCAACGAGCGCAACCCUUGAUCUUAGUUGCCAGCAUUUAGUUGGGCACUCUAAGGUGACUGCCGGUGACAAAC